GGCCCCCGGUGAUGAACCCAUGACCAGGGACUCCCAUGACCGCACCCGGUUGUAUUCGUACUGUCUGAGGGGGCC